GAUGAACGCUGGCGGCGUGCCUAAUACAUGCAAGUCGAGCGAACAGACGAGGAGCUUGCUCCUCUGACGUUAGCGGCGGACGGGUGAGUAACACGUGGAUAACCUACCUAUAAGACUGGGAUAACUUCGGGAAACCGGAGCUAAUACCGGAUAAUAUAUUGAACCGCAUGGUUCAAUAGUGAAAGACGGUUUUGCUGUCACUUAUAGAUGGAUCCGCGCCGCAUUAGCUAGUUGGUAAGGUAACGGCUUACCAAGGCAACGAUGGGUAGCCGACCUGAGAGGGUGAUCGGCCACACUGGAACUGAGACACGGUCCAGACUCCUACGGGAGGCAGCAGUAGGGAAUCUUCCGCAAUGGGCGAAAGCCUGACGGAGCAACGCCGCGUGAGUGAUGAAGGUCUUCGGAUCGUAAAGCUCUGUUAUUAGGGAAGAACAAAUGUGUAAGUAACUAUGCACGUCUUGACGGUACCUAAUCAGAAAGCCACGGCUAACUACGUG
rnacentral:rRNA from 1 species